UGAGGAAGUUUGACUGUGCAUUCUUGUGGUAGUAUGUAAAUGAGUGUUGAAGUGUGCUGUGCUGUUCUGUACCCCCUGGGUAGCUGAAUGUAUAGUGUGAUGAUGUAAAAAUGCUUUCAGGGUAAUGUUUCUGAAUGUGUGCAGGAGAUGUGCCAGAGUGUGGGGUGUCAUUAAACUCCAGGACCUAAUGACAGUGAAAAGUGCAUGAGUCAUGGACAGAAUGUCUGGUGCAAACACAGCAAUUUUCCAGCUACAGGACUACUAGGUUAUCAGUGGUGAGUGAGUGAGUGAGAGAGUGAGACUAGGAGAGAGGGAGGGAGAGAGAGUGAGAGAGUGAGAGAGAGGGAGAGAGAGAGGGAGAGAGAGAUACACAGUAGUUGUUAAAUUACAGUCACCAUUCUUCACCAUCACCUUCAUCACUAUCAGCUCAAACCAAUCUGGCCACUUUUAAUACAUACUCUAUAUACUAUACAUCCAGUAUAUAAAUCAAUUUAAUAAUCAGGCUGUACAAUACAACAUAUGUUUCCAUAUAUGUUGUUUAACAUCAUGCUAAUUCACUUUAAUUUAGAACAGCCAAUUAGCGUUAACAAAUUAACAAUCUUUAACAGCUAAAUUAAUUUAAACAUUUAAUUAACCAUUUAUUUGUCCACAAAAUAGAUGUCAUGCUGAAUCAGACAACUGAUUAAUGUAACACUUACACUUAAAACAUUCAUUUAACACAUUCACCUUCUAGUUGGAACCUUCUACAAGUCACAUGUUCAACAGGAAGUUGAACAUGUGACGUCAUCUGAAUUUCCUGAAGCUCAUGGAAUAUGAGGAAAAGUAUAUGAAUUAACAUUAAUUCCAAGAAUUAAGGAAAAAAAAAGAGAAACAUAUUGCUGGGAAAGGCAGGCCUGAGCACACCAGGAUUAUUGCAGUCUGUAGGCCGUUUCAUAGUCAGUUGAAUAAAUACCAAACCAUUUUCUGCAUGAUCAAAUCUCACUUACUUGACUUACAAUGCUUCCUUUGCUUUCAUACGCUGUUCUCACUUGCUGGUUUAUUCUGAAGAACUUUGAUGAGCUGACAUCUAAAUGGCAAAACGAAAUGAAUCACUUUCAACACUCGCUCUAACAACAGUGUUAGUAGGCACAAGACCUUCAUUUUUUUUUUUUUUUUUUAGAAAAAACACUAUACCUUUUGUAAACACUUCACGCUUGAGGACUGAUUGUGGGUUGCUAUGGUUCUUUGCAGAGCACUUAACAGGAAGUGAGACAAAUUUCAACACCUAAUGAGGGACACGGAAAGGCAUUGGGACAAAGAUUGAACCAUACAGAUGAGCUCUAACUGCUGUCUGUGUAGUCCAACAACAUUACACUUGGUAAUUUAGAAAGGUUUCAUUGUAGACCACCUUCACAUACAAUAUGGCCACCAUUUUGAGGAAAAAUUGGGUCUGUCAUAUAAAAGGUUUCAUUAAUCUAUGUGUCAUUAAAAGCAGUGCACUUUCACUAUACUUACUAUAUAUGUCUUUUCCAUCAGGCUGCCUCACAGCUACAUUCGCUAGCUACGUUGUUGGAUGUUUACCUCAGAAACAUUAGUCGGUUAGCUAAUAUCUUUUUUGCCCUCUUUAUAAUAAUAAUAUGGAAGACAUUUCUUUUUCCAAUAAACCCGUUUAUACGACAUGCCACCAUUCUUUUGUGCUUUAUUCCACAAUGUGGCAUAAUGAUAUAAUCACACAAAGCUUAUACAAGAUCCAGUGAGAGUGAGAAUGCAGCAUAUUCGAAAAGUCGUCUUUCCUGUCUGGAUUUGUGUAAAGCAACCCGGAUUAAAAAUGUAGCAUAUCACACAGGGAUUAUGUUUUCUCCAUCUGCUCUGACUCUGUAUAUAACAUCAACACUGGAUAUACAGGUUAUGCUAACUUGUAUACGGUGUCAUUUGUGACACUGUUCAUAUUAUUACUACAUCUCAAAGGCUAUCCCACACAUUUUCAGUGGUAACUCAUAAUGAUUCUGGUAGGUUAGUCAACUUAUAGUGCUCAACAGGGUUGGGCACAUGUUAGCGUUAAACAUGAAUUUAUUAUGUGACUGAAAAAAUUUAUGUCCAUUUUCCUCUGUUGCUAUUCAGUUUUUCUGUCUCAGUUUUCACUAGUAGCUAAUUAGCACUGAAUUGUUGAACAGUAAAUAGAUGUGCUAACUGCACUAGCAGAAACAGGAGCAGCAUCACCUGCCUGUUGUUUAUAUGCUUUCCGUACCCAUUACCAUUGUAUAUCGUUAUUAUAUCUCAUGGACACGAUUCCAGCAGAUGCUGAACGCUCUCUCAGAGGAGACGCUCUGACGCCAUCCCACAACCGUCUGUUUUAGGAAUUACUGUUUACUCUGAUCAUUCGUGGGAAAACGAAGGCUGCUUUGGGUGUGGAUGCAUGUGUGUGUCUGUGUAUGUGUGGGCAAAUGCUAGGUCACAUGUAAAAAGCUGUAAUCCUCCUAGCAUUAGCCUUUGUAUAUGAUGAUGGAGCAAUUCAGUUUACUCAUUGUUUUGGUUACUGCUCCUUGCGUACACACUGAUCCAUUCUGCGUUGUGGAGAUUUGACUUAAUAUGUUGUAAAAGUACAAAUAUAUGUUUACGACAUAACUGUUUAGGCUGAACUCACUGAAA